rnacentral:rRNA from 1 species
GAUGAACGCUGGCGGCGUGCCUAAUACAUGCAAGUCGAGCGAACGGACGUGAAGCUUGCUUCUCUGAUGUUAGCGGCGGACGGGUGAGUAACACGUGGAUAACCUACCUAUAAGACUGGGAUAACUUCGGGAAACCGGAGCUAAUACCGGAUAAUAUUUUGAACCGCAUGGUUCAAAAGUGAAAGACGGUCUUGCUGUCACUUAUAGAUGGAUCCGCGCUGCAUUAGCUAGUUGGUAAGGUAACGGCUUACCAAGGCAACGAUGCAUAGCCGACCUGAGAGGGUGAUCGGCCACACUGGAACUGAGGCACGGUCCAGACUCCUACGGGAGGCAGCAGUAGGGAAUCUUCCGCAAAGGGCGAAAGCCUGACGGAGCAACGCCGCGUGAGUGAUGAAGGUCUUCGGAUCGUAAAACUCUGUUAUUAGGGAAGAACAUAUGUGUAAGUAACUGUGCACAUCUUGACGGUACCUAAUCAGAAAGCCACGGCUAACUACGUG